GGGGAUGAAACAAUAAAGACCGGAAGCUGAGUUUUUAUCCAUUUCCUCUACAUGACAAAGAAAGACUGGAAAAGUGGUUAAACAAUAUGAAGCGAGAUUCAUGGGUUCCCAGUAAAUACCAGUUUCUGUGUAGUGACCAUUUUACUCCUGACUCUCUUGACAUCAGAUGGGGUAUUCGAUAUUUAAAACAAAGUGCAGUUCCAACAAUAUUUUCUUUGCCUGAAGACAAUCAGGGAAAAGACCCUUCUAAAAAAAAAUCCCAGAAGAAAAACUUGGAAGAUGAGAAGUAUGCCCAAAAGCCAAGUCAGAAGAAUCAGUUGUAUUAAAUGAGACAAAGAAAAAUAUAGUUAACACAAAUGUGCUCCCUCAACAUCCAGAAUUACUUCAUUCAUCUUCCUUGGUAAAGCCACCAGCUCCCAAAACAGGAAGUAUACAAAAUAACAUGUUAACUCUUAAUCUAGUUAAACAACAUACUGGGAAACCAGAAUCUACCUUGGAAACAUCAGUUAACCAAGAUACAGGUGUAGGUGGUUUUCACACAUGUUUUUAUAAUCUAAAUUCUACAACUAUUACUUUGACAAUUUCAAAUUCAGAAAGUAUUCAUCAAUCUUUGGAAACCCAAGAAGUUCUUGAAGUAACUUCUAGUUAUCUUGCUAAUCCAAACUUUACAAGUAAUUCCAUGGAAAUAAAGUCAGCACAGGAAAAUCCAUUCUUAUUCAGCACAAUUAAGCAAACAGUUGAAGAAUUAAACACAAAUAAAGAAUCUGUUAUUGCCAUUUUUGUACCUGCCAAAAAUUCUAAACUUUCAGUUAAUUCUUUUAUAUCUGCACAAAAAGAAACCACGGAAGUGGAAGACAUAGACAUCGAAGACUCCUUGUAUAAGGAUGUAGACUAUGGGACAGAAGUUUUACAAAUAGAACAUUCUUACUGCAGACAAGAUAUAAAUAAGGAGCAUCUUUGGCAGAAAGUCUCUAAGCUACAUUCAAAGAUAACUCUUCUAGAGUUCAAAGAGCAACAAACUCUAGGUAGAUUGAAGUCUUUGGAAGCUCUUAUAAGGCAGCUAAAGCAGGAAAACUGGCUAUCUGAAGAAAAUGUCAAGAUCAUAGAAAACCGUUUUACAACAUAUGAAGUCACUAUGAUAUAGAAUAACUAGGUUUUAAAACUAUGGCUGUUAAAUAAGCUUUUUCCAGCCAAACCAAACUACAUGUAAAGUGAACUUUUUCCUGUAUAAAGUUCUCAUCUUAAUGAACCUAUGAGAGUGUUGUGAAGUUAUGAACUGUAUCCUAUUCUUGUAAUGCUCAUUUAAG
rnacentral:lncRNA from 1 species